AUUGAACGCUGGCGGCAUGCCUUACACAUGCAAGUCGAACGGCAGCAUGAUCUAGCUUGCUAGAUUGAUGGCGAGUGGCGAACGGGUGAGUAAUACAUCUGAACGUGCCCUGUAGUGGGGGAUAACUAGUCGAAAGAUUAGCUAAUACCGCAUACGACCUGAGGGUGAAAGUGGGGGACCGCAAGGCCUCAUGCUAUAGGAGCGGCCGAUGUCUGAUUAGCUGUUGGUGAGGUAAAGGCUCACCAAGGCGACGAUCAGUAGCUGGUCUGAGAGGACGAUCAGCCACACUGGGACUGAGACACGGCCCAGACUCCUACGGGAGGCAGCAGUGGGGAAUUUUGGACAAUGGGCGAAAGCCUGAUCCAGCAAUGCCGCGUGUGUGAAGAAGGCCUUCGGGUUGUAAAGCACUUUUGUCCGGAAAGAAAUGGCUCUGGUUAAUACCUGGGGUCGAUGACGGUACCGGAAGAAUAAGGACCGGCUAACUACGUG
rnacentral:rRNA from 1 species